CCUGGGACAGGACUGCACGGACUGCCUGGGGAGGGGUCUUUGGCCCCCCGGUUCCUGCAGGGGGGCUCGGGGAGGCCCUGUGAGCAGUUGGUCACAGGUGGGUCCCAUUCGAUGCGAUCCUGUUCCUCCCCAACAGCCCUGGAGAAGGGGGACGUUGCCUGCUGUGGCUGCGGCUGUUUUCCUGGCCUGUGAGAGGCGGGGCCAGAGUGGCCGUUGGGAAUCUGGGUGUUGCAAGGUGACCACAAACAGCUCUCUGGGGGAGGAGGAGGAAAAUGCAAUUGAUUUUCAGGAGCCUUCUGAGGUCAGGAGUGGGAGAGUGUGCAGGGGGACCCUCCUGGCAGCUUGGGGGUCCAACAGAAGAUCUGGGGGAGUCUCAGGGUCUUCUCCCCCUAGGAUCACCAGUGGUGGAGAUGGGGCAGGCCUGGCCAUGGAGGGCACGUUGCUUGGCUGAGGGGCCUGGGCUUGAGUGUGGGGCCUGGGCUUGAGUGAUGGGAGAGUUCCGAGCAGGCCGGAGGGGUUGAGCGUACCAGACGCUGCUCAAAACUUUUAUUUAAAAAUGAUUAUUAUUAUUAUUACUAUUAUUUUGAGAUGGACUCUUGCUCUGUCGCCCAGGCUGGAGUGCAAUCGUGCGAUUUCAGCUCACUGCAACCUCCCACCUCCUGGGUUCAAGUGAUUCUCCCUCCUCAGCCUCCCGAGUAGUUGGGAUUAUAGGCGCCUGCCACCACGACGGGCUAAUUUUUGUAUUUUUAGUAGAAAGAGGAUCUCCCCAUGUUGGUCAGGCU
rnacentral:lncRNA from 1 species